rnacentral:rRNA from 1 species
UAAUGUAUGGGGAUCUGCCCGAUAGAGGGGGAUAACUACUGGAAACGGUGGCUAAUACCGCAUAAUGUCUACGGACCAAAGCAGGGGCGUCUUCGGACCUCGCACUAUCGGAUGAACCCAUAUGGGAUUAGCUAGUAGGUGGGGUAAAGGCUCACCUAGGCGACGAUCUCUAGCUGGUCUGAGAGGAUGAUCAGCCACACUGGGACUGAGACACGGCCCAG